rnacentral:rRNA from 1 species
UACGUAGGGUGCAAGCGUUGUCCGGAAUUAUUGGGCGUAAAGAGAUCGUAGGCGGUUUGUCGCGUCUGCUGUGAAAACUCAGGGCUUAACUCUGAGCUUGCAGUGGGUACGGGCAGACUAGAGUGCGGUAGGGGAGACUGGAAUUCCUGGUGUAGCGGUGAAAUGCGCAGAUAUCAGGAGGAACACCGGUGGCGAAGGCGGGUCUCUGGGCCGUAACUGACGCUGAGGAGCGAAAGCAUGGGGAGCGAACAGG